UAAAAAGCCUGAGCUCUGGAGUUGCAGCUCACCCUGAUUAGGCUUUGAGGGACUGUCUCUGCAAAAGCAGAGGAAGGAAGGACCGUGCAGCUGUGUAGAGUUGGAAUUGAUCCCUAAGGCUGGACAUGGGGCGGGAAAGCCCCAAGGCACUAAGACAAAGGGGGAAGGCAUGAAUGCCACGGACAUAUGUGGAGAUCAGAGGACAGCGUUCACGAGUCCUUCAAAAACAGGCAGGUGAACUGUGUAGCAAAAAUGACCUUGAACUCCUGGGUUUCCUGCCUUUACCUCCCAAGUGCUGGAAUUACAGGUGUGUGCGACCACACCUAGGUGAGUCUAGUUAUGUGUGUAUGGGGUGUGUGUAUGUAUAUUUGUGGGUGGUAUAUGUAUAUGAAAGUAUAAGUGGUGUGUGUGUGGGGGGUUGUUGGGGAACAUGUGUGUAUGGGAUAUAUGUAUGGUAUGUUUGUAGUGAGUGUGGUGUAUUUGUGGUACCUGUGGUGUGGGGUCUGUUGUGGAGGAUGGGAAGAGUGUAUGUGUAUGUAGUGUGGUGUGAGUGUGGUAUGUCUGUAUGCUGUCAAUGUGUGGGGGUGUGGUAUGUCUGUAUGCUGUACAUGUGUGGGGGUGUGGUAUGUCUGUAUGCUGUACAUGUGUGGGGGUGUGGUAUACAUGUGUGAGUGUGUGUGUUGUAUCGUGUUUGUGUGUGUGUAUGGAAGGAUAGAAGAUAGGACUUUGGGCUUUACCAUCGAGCCACAUCCCCAGCCCUAUCAGAUUCUUGAGUGCUAAGUUCCACUCAAUUCAAAAUAGGAGACAGGUCCUCCCUCAGCUGAGGUGCCCUCCCAGGACCCUGGCAAAGUUGGCCAGAGUUGUGGCUGUAUGUGAGGUGUGAUUACUACUGUCCUCAAAGUCCCCAAAGAUCAAGGCAGCUGUCUGCUCAUUUCUUCACUUGCUGAUCUUUCACCCUUCCGUAGCUCUUCAAAGGUUACUUCUGGGGUUGGAGAGAUGCUCAGCGGUUAAGAGCACUGACUGCUCUUAAAGGUUCUGAGUUCAAUUCUCAGCAACCACAUGGUGGUUCACAUACAAUCAUCUGUAAUGGGAUUCGAAGCCCUCUUCUUGUGUUUCCUGUAAACAGUUAUAAGUGUAUUUAUAUAAAUAAAAAUAAGUAUUUUUUCUUUAAAAAAAAAAAGGUUACUUUUGACCCACUUGGGGGAUGUGGACGGACUCUGAAGGAGUCUUGCUAUUUGAAAUUAAAAGGAGUCAGAAGAACAGGACAAGAUAGCCAGGCUUGGUUAUCCAAAAGUGGUAAAACGGUCCCAGAAAAGAGUACCCUAUUGUUUUUACAGGGCACUAGAAGAGUGUUCAACAUAGGACUGACCGGGGCUGUCACACUACAGAGCUAUACCCCAGCCCACCUUUAGACUUUUAAUCCAGGUGAGUCUACUUCAGCUCUGCCUGAGCCUGGACAAGCAGAGCAUUAAUGCUUGCCUUAGCUAGGCACCAUUGUGAAGUGGAAAACUAAGGCCAUGCGCAAUAAUCUCCCAGCUUCCUGCCUCUUCCCACACUAUGCUAUUCGCACUUGCAGGAAGCCCAACUUUCUUCCAUCUGGUUUCCUACUGCCACAACUGGCUUCCUCUUGUGCCCCACCCACUUGAUCCUCUGCAGGAUAAUGUUCCUUGGGUUUUGUGAGCUCCCCUCCUCACCUCUAGCUGAGUCCUUUUCUCAGCCGGGUUUCACACAGGCAUAUAAACAAUGCCUCUCCUAACUUAAAGCCAAAACCUACAGCCUGAGCGCCCUUGGCUUUAGCUUUAGGUUCUCAGCUCUUCCCUCCAUUCUCAGCUCAGCUGCAAGAAAGAGUGGACAGCACCUAACGCUCCCUCCCAUGUUCUCUCGGUUGGGCUCCCACUAAAGCCACUCCCCAAAUACCUUGGCAGCCCAAUUCAGAGGUCUCAUGUUGCCAGAUGUCACUUGUUCUGGUCCACUUAGUUCUCAUUCUCUCUCUCUCAUUCUCUUGUUCUCUUCUUCUCCUAUCCUCUGCUUCCGGUCCUGUGACACUAUUUCUAUUUAUUUCUUUACUUACUUAUUUGUUAUUGUAUGUGUUUGGCGUGUGUGAGUAUACACAUGUGGGUGCACACACACACACAUAUGCAUGUGCCACAGUCCAUGUGUGGCAGUCAGAAAACAACUUUUAGGGGUUGGUUCUCUCCUUCCACCUUUGUGUGAGUUCCAAGAAUCAAACUCAGGUCAGCAGCCUUGCAGAGCGAGGACUGUUCUGGCUGAGCCAUCAAACACAUCAAACGGUGUGGACUCAAACCUCCAUCCUCAGCCUGCUGCUCAUGCCCCCGUCCUGCACUUAUAGCCUCAUUCACUCCUGUUCCUGUCCACACCACUCUCACGCUAAUAAUUCCAGAUGUGCAUUCCUCCUUCAUUUCAUGUGAUCACCCAUACCUCAAAACCCAAAGGGCCAAACCCAAACCCCCAGCUCCUUUCUUCUCUACUCCCAUCCCAGACAGCUCCCCCCAAUGGCACUACAGAAUCCCAGGCUAGACGCCCUCCCCUCCAGUCAUUCUGAAAGCCCUCCUCUUUCAUCUGCAGUCCUAUCACAGACUGUGACUCUGUUUACAUCCUCCUGUCCUAACUGCCACAGUCCUGGUUCCAGCCCUGUUCUUCUUUCUCCUGAGCUACUACAACAGACUCCUAACAGUCCUGCCUGCUACAGUCACUUCCUCUUCAAGGUUUCUAAAGUGUGGAUUGGAUCCUUUCACUCCCUGCUUAGAACCCCUCAAUGGCUCUCUAUUGGCCUCAGUAACAAGACUGCUCUUUUCCCUGUCACCCCUACGUGCAUCCCUGUGUAUUUAACACCUCUUGACUUGAUGCAAGCACGUGCUUCCAGGCAUAGCUUUCCCGAUCCAGGUCCCUCCUGUGACUCUAACUUAUCCUUUUGUGACUCUUCUCUGAGAUUGAGUUCAAGAGCUUUCUCCAAAGCCCCAAACUGGACCCCACGUCCCUUACACAAAUCUUUUGGUUUUUUUGUUUUGUUUUGUUUUGUUUUUUGUUUUUUGGAGACAGGGUUUCUCUGUUCAGUCCUGGCUGUCCUGGAAAUCACUCUGUAGACAAGGCUGGCCUCGAACUCAGAAAUCCACCUGCCUCUGCCCUCCCAAGUGCUGGGAUUACAGGCGUGCACCACCAUUGCCCGGCUCCCUUAUACAAAUCUUUAAAAUGGUCUUAAAAUAUUGUAUUCCAGGACUAGAGAGAUGGUUCAGGGGCUGAAGGCAAUUGGCUGCUCUUCUAGAAGACCUGAGCUCAAAUUCCAGCACCUACCCACAUGGCAGAUCACAAUUGUCCGUAACUCUAGAUCAGAUAGCGUCCAACAUCCUUUUCUGGUCUCCAGGGCACAUGGUGCAUAGGCAUACAUGCAAGUAAAACACUAAUAUACAAAAUUUUAACUAAAAUACUGUAUCCAGAAUUAAAUCUAACUAGAAAAGCUAGUUUUAAACAUUGUGCCAGGCAUAGUGGCAUACAUCUGUGA